AAUCCUUUAACGAGGAACUAUUGGAGGGCAAGUCUGGUGCCAGCAGCCGCGGUAAUUCCAGCUCCAAUAGCGUAUAUUAAAGUUGUUGCGUCUAAAAAGCUCGUAGUUUGAAAACUUGCCUUGGCUUACAACAGACGUCUAAGGGCGUCACCGUUUGUCGAGAGCAAAUAUGGGUGACUGUUCUUGCCUUCUUCACUGAUUGGCUCGUAAAAGUCAUCGAAGAUCACUUUGAUUAAAUUAGGGUGCUCAAAGCAAGUGUGCUACUUGAAUAUGAAUGCAUGGAAUGAUGGAAUAUGUUGUUGUUCUAUUUGUUGGUUUUUUGAAUGACGAAAUGAUUGAAAGGAACUGUUGGGGGCAUUCGUAUUGUUGUGAGAGAGGUGAAAUUCUUAGACCAUAGCAAGACGAACUACUGCGAAAGCAUUUGCCAAGAAUGUUUUCAUUGAUCAAGAACGAAAGUUAGAGGUUCGAAGGCGAUCAGAUACCGCCCUAGUUCUAACCAUAAACUAUGCCGACUAGCAAUUUGCUUUGUAUUUUUAUGACUAAGUGAGAGGCCACGGGAAACCAAAGUAGGGUUAUGGGGGAAGUAUGGUUGCAAAGCUGAAACUUAAAGGAAUUGACGGAAGGGCACCACCAGGAGUGGAGCCUGCGGCUUAAUUUGACUCAACACGGGAAAACUUACCUGGUCCUGACACUAGAAGGAUUGACAGAUUGAUAGCUCUUUCUUGAUUUGGUGGAUGGUGGUGCAUGGCCGUUCUUAGUUGGUGGAGUGAUUUGUCUGGUUAAUUCCGAUAACGAACGAGACUCUAGCCUAUUAAAUAAUAUGCGGAAUCAAUUUCUCCCGCGUUAUUUCUUAAUGGGAUCAAGCGUGUUUAACGCUUUGAAACAGAGCAAUAACAGGUCUGUGAUGCCCUUAGAUGUUCGGGGCUGCACGCGCGCUACAUUGAAGAACAAAGUGAGCCCUCUGGCUUUUAACAAAGCUAGAAAUCUUUUAAUGUUCUUCUUAAUGGGGAUAGGGGAUUGCAAUUGUGCCCCUUGAACGAGGAAUUCCCAGUAAGUGCUAGUCAUUAGCUAGUACUGAUUACGUCCCUGCCCUUUGUACACACCGCCCGUCGCUACUACCGAUUGAAUAGUUUAGUGAGAUCAUCUGAGUGUUUGUAUGUGCAUUCUGUGCUUGUAUGGUGUACGAAGAAGAUCAAACUUGAUUAUUUAGAGGAAGUAAAAGUCGUAACAAGGUUUCCGUAGGUGAACCUGCGGAAG
rnacentral:rRNA from 1 species